UAUAAAUGACAGGUACAUUAUAGGGAGGCCGACAUUAGGGUAUUGUGCUCCACUUUAGUAGAAGUUUAGUUUCAAAUUAAAAAAAUUUGUUGAAGUAAUAAUGCUUGGUGUUAAGUUUUUAUUAAUUGGCUUCUUCAUAAUACCAAUUUCAGCCAGUGGAUUUAGCUAUGAUGAUACCAUUAGCUGGAAUUUAGACACACCCCAAUGUGCUGGGUUAAGACAAUCUCCCAUUUCGUUGGACCACACAAGGGUAA